AACAAGAUGCUGAUGGUUUUUAUCUUUUGUCUAGAGUGCCAAAGAUAUGGUUCAUGGAAGUUCAGUAUCCAACUGUGUGGAGUGAGAAGCUUUACUUUUUAAGGGCAGACUGGAGGGCAGAGGCAGCUAAGAGCUGUUGAACCUACCAAGCCAGCUGCUGCUUCAUAUGCUGAUUGCUGCUUCUGCAAAGAAAGGUGAAGGGGAGGAAGAAGGCAAGCAUUCAGCUUCACUCUGAGGCUGAGAAGAGCAGUUCUUCAGUCACAGUACGAUUUGAGGGAAAAAUAGAUUAAAACUUAAGGCGAAGAAGAGCUGGGCAAGGCACAGAAGAUCAUCGCUCUGUAUCACUUCCACAUUUCUACUGCAACCUUUCAGCUCUUUGGAAGUCACCUGAAAGGAUAGCAGAACUGUGACAGAUGAGCCUGAAGUUUUAAAUAUCGCUAUAAGAUGGAUGCGUGAUGGCAGCAGCAACAGGCACAAAGGUUACAUGUACCCUCUGAAGCAUCCCUGAGUAGUUCAGUGACAGAUUUAAUAAAAUAAACAAAUAAAUAAAUAAAAGCCAAAUGGUUUUCAAGGACAAGAUCCUUUCCUGCCAGCAGGCAAAAGGACAUUCCACAUAGGAGCCCAUCUUCCAGCUGUUGGAUAACAUCGGAAGCCAGCAUGAGAAUGACUGUCACUUUUGGUGGCUUGCCCAACAGAUUUUGUUCACAGAUUUUUAAAAUUUUUUUUUUAAUAAAGCAUGGCUCAUGUAGCAGAGAAAAUAAUUUGAGCAGAGUGGAACUCAGGAGUUUCACUUCACAAAUGAAGUCCUUGUCUCAUUGGUAUCAAUGGUAGUUUCCCUCUGACUUCAAAGGUGCCAGGAUUUCAUCUUGCAUGAAAAGUUUAUUCAUCUUCUCUCUUUGUGGUUUUGUGUAUGCCCCCCAUUUGCUGAGUGUCAAGCAGACAGAUGAUUUGAAAGAACUUGCCCCCUCCAACUGAAACAUGGAAAGCCUCUAGCAUUCUGCUGAGUGAGUAUCUAUAUGGUAACAGGAGCCUAAUCUUGUAAAGGCCAGAGGUUCAGGGGGCAGCCAGACCCAGACAACACCCAUUAAUUUAGGGUCCACCUUAAUUAUAUAUAUCCUUGUAAUACUUGGGGAUUACUGCUGUAAAAAUGGCAACUGGAAAGCAGGAGACUGAAAGAAAAGAUCUUGGAGCAGUGGCCCAGAAUGUCUCCAUAGACCAUCACCAGUGCAGACUAUUGUGGAUUCUACCUCACUGUUAAAACGACUACCUAAAACAGUAUCCUGUAAUCAAUGCCCCAAGGUAUCCUGUUCAGUCAAUCAAGACCCAUCAUCAUUUGUUUGAAGUUUCACCUCUGGACUGAUUAAAAAAACAAAACAAAAAACUUGUAAAAACAAGUUUCACACCUGGACAACCCAAAACAGGAUCUGAGCAGUUAGCGCAAUUGUAGCGUGAUGAUCCCUUCCUACCUGCUUGGUCGGGACAUUAAUUGACCAACUAUCAAGGAGGAAUGCUUCGAAACCGUAGUAUUGAACAGUACAAGAAUGAAACAGAGUUGCCAGCAAAGUGUGCACUCUUAGAGAGAGAGAGAGAGAGAAAUCAUUACAACAUUGUACCUGCACCCAGCUGAUCUCUCCUGGGUGACGGAUCCGCGCUCAGUGAAGAAUGACAAGACUGGAAACCGCUUCCUGCCUGCAUUGAUGAGAGACUCUUGCAGUUAACAUAUGCUAGGACUUUUGUGAUGGUUCAUUUGCUGAAUAUUGAGAAGGAGUCUUUUUCUGUCAUUUAGUUUUAUAGCUCAUUUGUGGUAUUGUUAUUAAAGC